rnacentral:rRNA from 1 species
GAUGAACGCUGGCGGCGUGCCUAAUACAUGCAAGUCGAACGAAACUUCUUUAUCACCGAGUGCUUGCACUCACCGAUAAAGAGUUGAGUGGCGAACGGGUGAGUAACACAUGGGCAACCUGCCCAAAAGAGGGGGAUAACACUUGGAAACAGGUGCUAAUACCGCAUAACCAUAGUUACCGCAUGGUAACUAUGUAAAAGGUGGCUAUGCUACCGCUUUUGGAUGGGCCCGCGGCGCAUUAGCUAGUUGGUGAGGUAAAGGCUUACCAAGGCAAUGAUGCGUAGCCGAACUGAGAGGUUGAUCGGCCACAUUGGGACUGAGACACGGCCCAAACUCCUACGGGAGGCAGCAGUAGGGAAUCUUCCACAAUGGGCGAAAGCCUGAUGGAGCAACGCCGCGUGGGUGAAGAAGGUCUUCGGAUCGUAAAACCCUGUUGUUAGAGAAGAAAGUGCGUGAGAGUAACUGUUCACGUUUCGACGGUAUCUAACCAGAAAGCCACGGCUAACUACGUGCCAGCAGCCGCGGUAAUACGUAGGUGGCAAGCGUUAUCCGGAUUUAUUGGGCGUAAAGGGAACGCAGGCGGUCUUUUAAGUCUGAUGUGAAAGCCUUCGGCUUAACCGGAGUAGUGCAUUGGAAACUGGGAGACUUGAGUGCAGAAGAGGAGAGUGGAACUCCAUGUGUAGCGGUGAAAUGCGUAGAUAUAUGGAAGAACACCAGUGGCGAAAGCGGCUCUCCGGUCUGUAACUGACGCUGAGGUUCGAAAGCGUGGGUAGCAAACAGGAUUAGAUACCCUGGUAGUCCACGCCGUAAACGAUGAAUGCUAAGUGUUGGAGGGUUUCCGCCCUUCAGUGCUGCAGCUAACGCAAUAAGCAUUCCGCCUGGGGAGUACGACCGCAAGGUUGAAACUCAAAGGAAUUGACGGGGGCCCGCACAAGCGGUGGAGCAUGUGGUUUAAUUCGAAGCAACGCGAAGAACCUUGCCAGGUCUUGACAUCUUCUGACAAUCCUAGAGAUAGGACUUUCCCUUCGGGGACAGAAUGACAGGUGGUGCAUGGUUGUCGUCAGCUCGUGUCGUGAGAUGUUGGGUUAAGUCCCGCAACGAGCGCAACCCUUAUUGUUAGUUGCCAGCAUUAAGUUGGGCACUCUAGCAAGACUGCCGGUGACAAACCGGAGGAAGGUGGGGAUGGCGUCAAAUCAUCAUGCCCCUUAUGACCUGGGCUACACACGUGCUACAAUGGACGGUACAACGAGUCGCAAGACCGCGAGGUUUAGCAAAUCUCUUAAAGCCGUUCUCAGUUCGGAUUGUAGGCUGCAACUCGCCUACAUGAAGUCGGAAUCGCUAGUAAUCGCGGAUCAGCAUGCCGCGGUGAAUACGUUCCCGGGCCU